UACGAAGGGGGCGAGCGUUGUUCGGAAUUACUGGGCGUAAAGGGCGCGUAGGCGGCGACCCAAGUCAGAUGUGAAAGUCCUGGGCUUAACCUGGGGACUGCAUUUGAUACUGGGUUGCUUGAAUUCGGGAGAGGAUAGCGGAAUUCCCAGUGUAGAGGUGAAAUUCGUAGAUAUUCGUAAGAACACCAGUGGCGAAGGCGGGUCUCUGGGCCGAUACUGACGCUGAGGAGCGAAAGCGUGGGGAGCGAACAGG
rnacentral:rRNA from 1 species